rnacentral:rRNA from 1 species
ACAGAGGAGGCAAGCGUUGUUCGGAAUCACUGGGCUUAAAGCGCGUGUAGGCGGCUUAGAAAGUGUCGUGUGAAAUCCCGCGGCUCAACCGCGGAACUGCACGGCAAACUACUUGGCUUGAGGUCGGUAGAGGUGCCUGGAACUCUAGGUGGGGGGGGCAGUGGGGUGGUUGUGGCGAGGAGCGGCAGAAGCGAGAGGGGGGAACAGGGCCCAUUCACCCGGUGGGACGGGGGAGUGAAUAGAGGGGGUUG